AUUCCAGCUCCAAUAGCGUAUAUUAAAGUUGUUGCAGUUAAAACGCUCGUAGUCGGAUUUCGGGGCGGGCCGACCGGUCUGCCGAUGGGUAUGCACUGGCCGGCGCGUCCUUCCACCCGGAGACCGCGCCUACUCUUAACUGAGCGGGCGCGGGAGACGGGUCUUUUACUUUGAAAAAAUCAGAGUGUUUCAAGCAGGCAGUCGCUCUUGCAUGGAUUAGCAUGGGAUAAUGAAAUAGGACUCUGGUGCUAUUUUGUUGGUUUCGAACACCGGAGUAAUGAUUAACAGGGACAGUCGAGGGCAUUCGUAUUCAAACGACAGAGGUGAAAUUCUUGGACCGUUUGAAGACGAACUAAGGCGAAAGCAUUUGCCAAGAAUGUUUUCAUCA
rnacentral:rRNA from 1 species